rnacentral:tRNA from 1 species
GAGAGUAUAGCUCAAGUGGUAGAGCACAUGCUUAGCAUGCAGGAGGUCCUGGGUUCAAUCCCCUGUACUCCUU